GCAUUUAAGCUAUUGAAGGCGUUGCGCUGCCCUCCGAAGGCAGAGGUCAGAGGUUCGAAUCCUCUCGAGUGCGCCA
rnacentral:tRNA from 1 species